GAGAUCUCUCCUUGUUGGGAGCCUUUCCCUUCAAACCCUAAAUCUUCUGAUCUGGGAAGGCAAUGGCAUUUUAAAUAUUCUGCAGCAUCUCACCUGGGCUCCAGCUAUCACUCUGUAUAGAUACUUAAAGUGCUUACAAGGAUGAAGAUUCUUUCCUUACUUCGCUCCAACUGCCCUGAGCUCAGCUUUUACUCAGCAAGGCCACAGAAGUCUUGGAAAAAAAUGACAGAAUUUGGACAAGAUUUUAUUCUUGUUCCUCUGUUUGUUUUGUUUAGGAAAUAAAAGCUCAUCUUUGAGCAGUAUAGCCAUGGCAUGUUUACUUUCUGCCGAACAUUGGUCUUUCUGGGAAUCUUUGAUGUGAUUUGAGUUUACUGUCUACCUCUUUCUGUCCACAUUGUAGUAGGGCUUGAUAUUUAUAGAUGUACAUACCCUCCUUGAAACAUGAAAAGUAAGAGAUAUAUAUAUCCAAAUGUCUUCAUGGUAAAAUAAAUCCAAGCAUGGAGGAACUCCGAGUUAGAAUUUAAUGGUAAAAAUGGACGCUAAAUGAAUGGAACCAUGCAGUAGGCUUGAAUCAUGUUUAUUUGAAUUUUUCUGCGCUAAGGUGUUUGGGAAAAUUUCUGUUUAAGUAAGCUUGUUGUAACCUGGAAGAAAUUAUAGCGGUAACAGUCUGUGAAAGUCUGAACAAGCUAAUUAUGUUUAGGUAUGCCUGGGCUGAGGUGUUACCCUAAUUUAAGACAACAUCUUGUGGCUUAGAGGUGCAAUAGUCACAAACCAUAAGGAAACACUGGAGCAACUAUUAAGUCUCCUCGCAGGAAGAACUGUGUGUGGUCCUUCAUCCUAUAUGGGCUCUCAGUAAAACGCAGAAAUCACAGGAAAGUAGAGAUGAUUAGUGGAGUAAUCGCAGCUCAGCACAGUGAAUGGCAGCUCACAUUUCUGGGUCAGCUGUAACUUAUAUACGCCCUCAGUGCAGUUCAGAACUGGUGUCAAAACCCUGGAAAUUGCAGAUUUUGAAUGGAUCGUUAAUAUGGUGUUUGGGAAGCAUCUGGUUUCCCAAGCAGUUGUCUUCCCAAGAAAUUAAAGGAGAAGACUCGAAAUGUUUUGGGAACAACUUUUGGAGAAGAACAGCUUAUUGUGUAUUAACAUUUCUAUUUUAAUGUCACCCACUUCUAAGUUCUCCUUUGAAAGAUGGUGUAUUUGUCUCCUUCAUGCUCUCCUUGCAGGUCUGAAGUUCAGCUUAUUGAACACCUAGAUAGUUUGCUAUAAUUUUACCAUAAUGUCUAUAGCGGAUAUAGUUGGUUUUUAUUAAUAACCUCUAGAAACUUAGCCAGGCCUAUAUCACUGCCUGGCUGAAAGAUUAUACUUUUUAAAUCUACAAUCUAACUGCCCACUGUAUUUCAGUGGAAAGUAAUUGUUGCACCACCAGUGAUUAAAGAGGUCUCAAUCGUCAGCUGCUUUAAAUUCAUCAGUCUUUAGUGAGCUACAGUCAUUAAUCCCAGAUCAGUACGUGACUAAUUGUCUCCGCAAAAUCACUAUUGUGUUUUUGGAAGCUGGCUUCAUAGUGUUACAGAUCUGGGAUGGGAAACUGGGGUUCACAUUUCUGUUUAGAGUGGCACAUUCUUGUUUUUGGUCAUGUGUUCUGCAUACCUUAAAAUCAACAACUAACUUACCUAACUUAGCACGAUUAAAACAAAGCAAUAAAACCCCCAAACACUCUUGUGAAAUGCAGAAAGAUUAGAAACAAGCCAGCAUGCUCUUUGAAUCUGUCAUAUCUUGCUGACUAUUCUGCAUUCCUUUGCUAUUGCAGCAAUUUCUGAGUAUGAAGUUUCUUUCUUCAGUGCUGUGUGGUGGGGAUGUUACAAAUUAGACGUAUAGAGAAAUACAUGGAAAUCUGUGGGCAGUAUGGUAAUGCAGAUAGGAAAUUUUCUUUACUCAGAGCAAAAGGAGGAGCUGUAUUCAUUACAGUUGUCAGUGACUCCACUAUCCCACCCAAAAUUCUAGAUAAUGUUCUGUAGUAAAGCAUGCUGUGCUAACA